GAGGUGUCUGUCUGAUGUGUUAUUGAUUGUAUAUGUCUUAUUUUCAGGAUCCCAUUAUCACUAUGGCAAUGUUUAUCCUUUCCCUGUUUCCCUGUGCUGUGUUUGCUCUGAGCGGUGCAGCAGGUAACUCACACAGCAAACCAAGAAAACACCUCAUCCACAUAUGACAAUCUAAAAUGAUACAGCUCACAUUAUACACUGGUAAAAUACAAUUUCUUCAUAGUAUUUAGUUACAUCUCUUUUCUAGAGGAUCCCCAUGUCAUGGAAAACAACAUGGAACAGAGCCCACCUGCUGUGGGACUGUGAGCAAUUUGGAGCAAAACUUGCAUCCGUCCACACCUCUGAAGAGUGUAAUUUUGUGCAAGAGGUGAUCAGACAGAGGACUUUACCCCUGCCUGGAUUGGAGGAUCUGAUGCUGUUCAGAGUGACGGCUCCAAAUUUGGCUACAGGAACUGGCUCGCAGGAGAAACCAAUAAUGUUGGUGGCAGUGAGCCAUGCAUGAUGACGAACUGAAGAGUUGAAAAAGGCCGGAAUGAUGUUCAAUGGGAACGUACACUUCCAUCUGUGUGCUCCAAAAGGACAUGUUAAAUCUACCAUCGUGACAUCAACUGGACCUCAACUGAACCCCUUUUGUUUUUGUUGUAAUAACCUUUUUUCAUGAAAACUAUACAGUAUUCUUAUAGAAUGGGAAUAUAUGGUAGGCCUAUAGUUUUUAGGAAUCAUAGUCAAGCGUGAGACUUAACUUAAGGGGGCUUUUCUAUCAUGUAAGUAGGCUCUCGUCAAUCUUUUCAAUUCUGCUAAUCGUGUCAAAUGCCAUUGUGAAAUUCUUCUGA